rnacentral:rRNA from 1 species
GAUGAACGCUGGCGGCGUGCUUAACACAUGCAAGUCGAACGAAGAGGCGCAGCUUUCUCGGCUGAUUCGUUGCCAACGGGUGAGUAACACGCGCGUAACCAACCCUCCUCUCUAGCUUGGGCCCCUUCGACAGACCGUAACACUUACCAGGUACUACUACCACCUGCUUGGUGUUGUAGAGAAUUUCGGUUUUGGUUGGACUUGUUGCCUAUCCGCUUGUUGGUUAGCUAAUGGCUAACGAAACCGCCGACGGGUAGCCGGCCUGAGAGGCGAACCGGCCACACUGGGACUGAGACACGGCGCAGACUGCUACGUGAGGCAGCAGUGGGGAAUAUUGCACAAUGGGCGAAAGCCUGAUGCAGCGGCGCCGGGUGAGGGAUGACGGCCUUCGGGUUGUAAACCACUUUCAGUAGGGAAGAAGCGAAAGUGACGGUACCUGAAGAAGAAGCACCGGCUAACUACGUG